rnacentral:rRNA from 1 species
CAGCCGCCAGGUAAUACAGAGGGUGCGAGCGUUAAUCGGAUUUACUGGGCGUAAAGCGUGCGUAGGCGGCUUCUUAAGUCGGAUGUGAAAUCCCUGAGCUUAACUUAGGAAUUGCAUUCGAUACUGGGAAGCUAGAGUAUGGGAGAGGAUGGUAGAAUUCCAGGUGUAGCGGUGAAAUGCGUAGAGAUCUGGAGGAAUACCGAUGGCGAAGGCAGCCAUCUGGCCUAAUACUGACGCUGAGGUACGAAAGCAUGGGGAGCAAACAGGAUUAGAUACCCCCGUAGUCCCUGUCUCUUAUACC